rnacentral:tRNA from 1 species
GCCCUCGGGGCCUAAUGGAUAAGGCAUCAGUCUCCUAAACCGGGGAUUGUGGGUUCGAGUCCCACCGAGGGUA